UACGGAGGAUCCAAGCGUUAUCCGGAUUCAUUGGGUUUAAAGGGUGCGUAGGCGGAAUGAUAAGUCAGUGGUGAAAGACGGUAGCUCAACUAUCGCAGUGCCUUUGAUACUGACGGGCUUGAAUGAACUAGAGGUAGGCGGAAUGAGACAAGUAGCGGUGAAAUGCAUAGAUAUGUCUCAGAACACCGAUUGCGAAGGCAGCUUACUAUGGUUUUAUUGACGCUGAGGCACGAAAGCGUGGGGAUCAAACAGG
rnacentral:rRNA from 1 species